rnacentral:tRNA from 1 species
GGGCCCCCAUGUUCCAAGGCAAGGCGAUUUGGACUCCAAAUCCGACUGUGCGAGGUUCGAUACCUCGGGGGUUCGCCA